UUGGAGGGUGAAACCUCUGUAUCGUAAUAAAUAAUCGAUAUUAUUCUUGGACUAUCGAGGAAUAGCCGGGAUUAAAGAGGAACCUUUGAAUCCGUUGAAAUUUAUCCGAUAAAACCUCUCUCUGUUGAGAUCUGCGUAUCUUCAAGCAAAGGAUUCCCUUCCUUCAAGUAACUCUUUUCCAUUUACAUUAAAAGUUAAUCCUAGAAACGGUUGAUCUAAGAAUACUGUAUUCAAAGUACAGAGGAUUAUCUGUUAAAAUGAUUAAAUCGGUAUUAUGUUAGAUAAAUAAUAAUAAUAAUAAUAAUAAUAGUUGAAAGUCAUAGAGAGGUAAUCAUUAAGAAAUAAUUAUCUAUAUGAAUCAGUAAACAGAUUUUGUAUUGUUAAUGCGUUUAAAGCGAAGGCGCUGAAAGGUGUUGAUACGGCCCUGCCCGCUCGUGUGCGUGACGUUGAGGCGUACACGCGAGCACACGCUCACGCUGCUCGCGUGUCAACUACCGUAACCGUCGAGUACAUCGGGGAUUUCACAGUGGACGGGGUCGGGGCUGAAAGGAAGGGGCUGGAAAAAAGGUGUGAAUGCCGGAUGGCAUUCAUUCAAAUGCCGUCCAAUCACAGCAUCGUACUCCAGGUCGAGUGGCAGGGCCGGCGUACCAUCGGGAAUUAUUAAGUCCUUGCGAUUCUCUGUUGCGUUAACCAUACAGAUUAACCCAAAUCCGAGCAUUAACCGAGUUCACUCUCCCUGUUAAUCAUUAAUCAUUGAAAUAUUGAAAUUGUAAAGCUUAAUAGCUAGAUUGCCGGACUCGCAUCCGUCAAAAUAGGUAUAGCAUAUAUGAAUUUUUGGAACUAAGGAGUGGGGGGGAAGGAAUUAGUAUUUAUAUACAUUUCAUAAUUCUAUUGAAAAUCAACAUAUGUUUAAAAAAAAAAUUAUUUAAGUUUUUCUAUAUAUGUAGCAAUUAUAAAAUUCCAAUUCAUGUAUGCUUAUGAGAUUUUUUUUUAAAUUUCAUGGGUCAUUAUAAACUUAAAUAAUUUCAUUCUGGCUCUUGAUUUGAGGUUGUAUUCACAGUCUAAUUUAGCAUGAUCAUGCAAAAGUCAGAAGUACUGUUAAUGAGUGAUCUGUUCCCCUAGGUCGCGGUAUUUACAGGUUGUACUACUUGAAGCACUCACUGCAUCCUUAAAUCAGUAUCCAGUCAUCAUGAAAAAAUGAUUAAAUUAUUUCAUGUGCUGGUUCUCAGUGAUUCAUGCUUGACGAAUCGGUUCACUUUCACUGUUGGAUAAUGAAGAAAUCUAUUUGGAGAAAGUUUUGAGGGAAAAUGCGUGGCAGGGCAGGCUCUACUCGUGGCAGACGGUACUUCCCUGGAGUUCCUCUUUAACAUACAAUCCAGGGUGCAAUGCAGUCUCCGGUGCAACGGUUGUACGACAAUUGCCAGCUGAUUGCGAUCUUUCACCCGGGGGAGAGAGAGAGAGAGAAAAAAAAAUUAGCGACGCAGCCCGCAAUCAGCGUGUCUCAGAAGCGGCCGUCGCGGCCAGGUCUGCUGUAUCGACCUAAUACUCGGUGCUUCAACAGCACCUCGUAAAAUACGGUGAUUACUGCACGUGCUUUCGGGGAGAAAACCAUAAUAGCCGACCCUGACCGUUGAGAAAUUGUCCCAACGGAACGAACCAGUCAGGAAGAAUCCUCCUACACAAUUUAUCGAUGCAGUAAUUCCGUCUCAAACGCUGCUACUGAUUGAAUCUUGAAAACUCGAGGAAAUUGGAUAACGAUACUUGGACAGGAAUAACUUUGCAUUUAGGGAUCUCCUUGAAAAUUUUUCUACAGAAGGAAAUAUUAUUACAAUGAUUGAAUUAAUUACGUUCGAUAAAAUUUCCCAUGAAAAGCUUCGAAAUUUAUUCGGGCUCGAGCCUCGUGACGAGCAAUUAAACGCAAAAACGAGAGAGGAUUCCCUGCAGUCGAGGGGGAGGGGGGGAUGAUGGGAUCGCCGAACAAGAUCGAUGAAAGUUACUUGUCUUUCAGCUAGAGUGUAUCAGUUUCAACGCUGGAAAAUCUGUACGCGAAACAGGAUCCACCGGCUCGAACCUGGGUCACUGGAAUUCGAACUCCAACAAUCCCGAACAUGUAAAUUGCCGUACGAGGGAGGUGGAAGAUUUGAAAAUUGAAAUUUUGAAGAAAUUUUACUGGUCCCUGGUGUCUUCUGGAGUGCAAGGAGAAAGGAUUUAAAAAAAAUGGAAGCCCCAUGUUCGAUAAGCAUUGUUUCCUACGGAAGGCUAUUUACCGUCAGGCAAGAAAUUUAAUACAACUCGUUGGAGCUGUUGAAACCGAGGUAGCUCGGUGCAUACGCUCCUCUGUCACUGUCGUCGACGCGACGAGGAGAGGUAAGCGGAGGAGAAAAAUUUCGACGUCUGCGUGCGAGGGUUCGACAGCCUGAGAACGAGCAGAAGGAGCCAGGACUCGUCGCACACUGGCACAGAAUCAAUUUUCCAUGGCGAAUCUAUAUUUUAGUUUUCACCAAGAGUUACCGGCACCUUUUUUCUUCCACGGAAAGAAACUAUGCAGAGGAGAUGCGAUAAAAAAUCCAUUCAUGGAUUGAAAUAACCUGUUGCAUUAAUUAAAAAAGGAGAUCCAAAAAAAAUAUUCAACCAGUUGAAACAGGGUUAGAAUCAAUAAACUCAUUGAGCUUUGAAAGGUGUGUCAGCAACGGUACCCGGUUCGAAGAAAUCAUCGAAAUCAUAGAGACAGGAAAAGGAAGUGGAAAAAUCGACUUUAGUCCGGUAGAAAAAUUGAUUCAGCGUCGUCUGGAGGAGCCCGUGGGCCGUGGCGAGUACGCGAAAAGAAGAGCC